AAGAUCUGAAAAAAUGUCAGACAAAAAAAGUCUGAAAAAAAAGAUCUGAAAAAUGUCUGAAACAAAAGGUCUGAAAAAAUGUCUUAAAAAAAAGAUCUGGAAAAUGUCUGAAAAAAAGGUCGGACUUCCAGAGGUCGGAUUUCCAGAGGUCGGACUUCCAGAGGUUGGACGCCCAGAGAACAGGCCUGAGUGAGCGGAGUUUACCCGGAGACAGAGCUCCUCAGCUGGGUGAAAGCCCCCGUCUCUACCCCAGUCUGAGUCCGUGGAGGAUCACAGCUGACAGUCAGGCUGAACUCGACAGGAAACAGGAAGAGGAACUAAACUCUUCCGACUCCCAGCUGGAUUACAACACCAUCCAGUCUGGUUUCCAUGGCAACACUGAUGAUCACCUGCAGUGGCUCUGUGAGAUGAUCUCAGGUGUUCUGCAGUCGCUGCUUGUCUCACUUUGUCGCUCUACUUCAGAUUCAUGACUUCAGUCAAAGUGCUGCUGACUGAAGACCAGACGACAGACAGGUUACCUGUCUCAGACCAGGUGUUAUAAACAACUCUGUACU